rnacentral:rRNA from 1 species
GAUGAACGCUAGCGGCAGGCCUAACACAUGCAAGUCGAGGGGCAGCGCAGUGUAGCAAUACAUGGGCGGCGACCGGCAAACGGGUGCGGAACACGUACGCAACCUUCCUUUAACUGGGAGAUAGCCCACCGAAAGGUGGAUUAAUAUCCCAUAGUAUAUUUGAGUGGCAUCACUUAGAUAUUAAAGCUCCGGCGGUCAAAGAUGGGCGUGCGUCUGAUUAGGUAGUUGGCGGGGUAACGGCCCACCAAGCCCACGAUCAGUAGCUGAUGUGAGAGCAUGAUCGGCCACACGGGCACUGAGACACGGGCCAGACUCCUACGGGAGGCAGCAGUGGGGAGUUUUGGACAAUGGGCGAAAGCCUGAUUCAGCCAUUCCGCGUGCAGGAUGAAGGCCCUCGGGUUGUAAACUGCUUUUGUACAGAACGAAAAGGUUUCUACUAAUACUAGGAGCUCAUGACGGUACUGUAAGAAUAAGCACCGGCUAACUACGUGCCAGCCGCCGCGGUAAGAC